rnacentral:rRNA from 1 species
AUUGAACGCUGGCGGAAUGCUUUACACAUGCAAGUCGAACGGCAGCACGGGGGCAACCCUGGUGGCGAGUGGCGAACGGGUGAGUAAUACAUCGGAACGUGCCCAUGUCGUGGGGGAUAACGUAGCGAAAGCUACGCUAAUACCGCAUACGAUCUACGGAUGAAAGCGGGGGAUCGCAAGACCUCGCGCGAUUGGAGCGGCCGAUGGCAGAUUAGGUAGUUGGUGGGGUAAAGGCUCACCAAGCCAACGAUCUGUAGCUGGUCUGAGAGGACGACCAGCCACACUGGGACUGAGACACGGCCCAGACUCCUACGGGAGGCAGCAGUGGGGAAUUUUGGACAAUGGGCGAAAGCCUGAUCCAGCCAUUCCGCGUGCAGGAUGAAGGCCCUCGGGUUGUAAAGCUCUUUUGUCAGGGAAGAAACGGUUGAGGCUAAUAUCCUCGGCUAAUGACGGUACCUGAAGAAUAAGCACCGGCUAACUACGUGCCAGCAGCCGCGGUAAU